UACGUAGGCAGCAAGCGUUGUUCGGAAUUACUGGGCGUAAAGAGUGUGUAGGCGGUGCUCCAAGUCUGGUGUGAAAUCUCCCGGCUUAACUGGGAGGGUGCAUUAGAAAACUGGAAUGCUAGAGGAUGGGAGAGGUAAGCGGAAUUCCUGGUGUAGCGGUGAAAUGCGUAGAGAUGUGGAGGAACACCGAUGGCGAAGGCAGCCUUCUGGGCCAACACUGACGCUCAUGCACGAAAAGCGUGGGGGAGCAAACAGG
rnacentral:rRNA from 1 species